UAGGGAAUCUUCCACAAUGGGCGAAAGCCUGAUGGAGCAACGCCGCGUGAGUGAUGAAGGUUUUCGGAUCGUAAAACUCUGUUGUUAGGGAAGAACACCCGAGAGAGGAUCUCGGACUGACGGUACCUAACGAGAAAGCCCCGGCUAACUACGUGC
rnacentral:rRNA from 1 species